AUUUGCCAAUUACAUACUGAUAGAAUGGAAUAAGCAAAGAGCAUAAAAUAUAUUAUUUAUAUCAAUUCUUGCAAAAUACAGGUCCAUGCCAUAUGCAUAAUAUGUAAUGCACAUGGCAUAUUCGCCACAAAAAACACCGUAUCAAAUACGGACGUCUAUUCAACAGGUAUCGGAGAUGUGCACUUACCGAAAAUAUUAGAUUCUCUUUAUUCUGAUAAAUCCACAAAACAAAAUGAUAAACUCCAUUUGUAUCUCGUUAGAACUUUACAACACGUUGUCAUUCCAUUAUACAGACUGCGACACACUUCACCCGUGCCAAAUAGGGUGUCUUCAAUCAGGGGAGAUGUCAGAGUCGAAAAUUUUUCCUGCAUUGAAUGCUUGUCUGGUCGAGGUUUUGCAGUUGAUAGAAACCGGGAAUCUAAUCAUAUACAUUGAGCAUCUGGUUGGAUAUAUUGCGUGCUCAAUUCAAAAUUUAUCGAUGAUCAUAUACAAAUUUGGAUAUACAAAUAAGGGAAUAAUGAUCGAAAAUAUACAUCUGUUUAAAAAUGCGGGUAUUACAUUUGCAAUCCAUAAUAAACAGUUGAUUACACAAAGACACAUAUAAAAGGAAAUGUAUAAACGAAAAUAUAGUUUUAUUGUUUCAUUAGGAACCACAUAAUUAUUUACGGUCUCUGUAUGUCCAUAUUCAUUGAUUGAACAGGAGAGAGAGAGAGAGAGAGAGAGAGAGAGAGAGACUGUCCUACUUCGAUGUACAAUAUCAUUUCACAGAAGGAAAGAAAAUUGAUCACUGAUAUAAUGGUAAGCUUACAAGCAUUAAAAAAUUCCAGCUAUUUAAAAAUUUGUUAUUGACAAUAUAUUAAAAACUUACAGGAGUUGAUGCUUAUAAUUGAAUUCAUUACAAAUUCAAAAAAUAUAUAUAUACCAGUUUAAACUGCAUGUAGAAAAUACUGACUUUGUAUGUUAGAAUAACGGGAAAAAGUAAAUUGUCAAAAAAGUGGGGAGAGCAGACCAGCCCAGCCUCCCUGCCCACCCCAACCCCCUGUAUACGUGCCUGAAACAACAUAUCAAUUCGUGUUGAAAGAAAGGAGCAUAUUUGCAUUUCAUUAAAUUCCAAAGGAGCUCGAAUUUAUGUGUUCCCCUAUUAAUUAUUUUGUAUGCAAGAUUCGUUCCCGAAUUUAGAAUCAUGCUUUCAGUCAGAGCAGAAAUGAAUUCAUUUUGAAGUACAUCUAGUUUGAAUGCAGAUGUGGGGUUCCUUCCUUUAAUUUCAUCAGACUCAUUAGAACCCCCUCCCCCAAACUAUGCAGCUUUGUUUUUAUUGAUAUCUAAAUCGGCAUAUGAAUCCGGAUACAAAUUAUAUGAUGUUUUUUCGUGAUCAUAUAGAUAUCGAUACUAGAAAAUGUUUAUACUCUUGCCUUUUGCAUAUCCUACUAAUGCAUUACAGUAGAUUGACACUGUAUCAUAUCAAAUAAAACCUCAACACGAAUUUUACUGAUUUAUGAAUACUAACAUCUUAUCGAAUACAUUUGGAUAUGAAAUUUCGACGUACAGCGGUAUGUCUAUUUUCAGAAUAUAUCCAUUGCGCCAGAUCUACGAAAUGAAAAUAAUCAUUAUGGCAUGUUACAGAAACGUUAAAACACACAUGCUAUAGUCCUGCAAUGCAUGCAUGCGAUUUUUCUGAAUACAUGUAUUUAUGUAUUCGUGAAUGAAGUUCCUACGCUUAAAACUAUCUUGGCCUUUAUGCAUUAUGUUUUGUGAUUUUGGUUUACCAUUCCUUACACUGUAAAUGAAGGAAAACUUGGUAAAGGGUGCAAUUCUACACCAUACAAUUAGUAUGCAUGUAUGUGUUGAAAAGUAAAAUGUACAUGUAAUAACCAGACAUGUAUCGUCAUUUUUCAUGGGGGGGGGGGGGGGGGGUACAACAGGAUGAAAAAAAUGGAAAAUUGGAUUCUUCAAAAUUUCUUGCCAUUCAAAAUAAUAAUUAAAAAAGAUGAACGAAAACAGCAAUAAAAUAAAACAAAAAACCCAAACAAACCAAGAUGUUUUAUCCGAUGUUCAAAGUCCUAAAGUGGGGGUGAAGGGUUAAAAGAGUCUUUUACUUUGACUGCCUCAAUAAUUUCCCCCUACACUUCAUUUUCUUCCAUCGUUGGGGGUGGGAUAGGGUGGUUAGAGUCCUCUACUAUGAGUGCCUCAUAAUAUCUUCAUUUUCUUAAUUGGUGGUGGUGUGUGUCUUCUACUAUUAUAUCAGAACUUUCAAGCUGGGGUCAAGUUUGGGGGGGUUGGGGUUUGGGUUGUCACCCAAUAUAUUUUUUACUUGCAUUACAAAAUAACGGCCUCUCACUUCUGUCGGCGCGGGUUCGAAACCCGCUCGCGCCGGUUGGUGAGAAAGUUUCCCAGUUUACUUUCGGAAGGUCGGUGGUCUCUUCCCAGGUACAUUGUAUCUGGUUUCUCUCUUCCACCAACAAAAACUGGGUGCCACCAGAUAACUGAAAAAUUGUUGAGUGUGGCGGAAAACAUUAGAAAAAAAAUUGGAUAUUGUUAUCAAAAGUGGGGGACAGACACUCUUGUCCCCUCCCCUUGAUUCUAAGUACUUUGUACUUGACCUUUGUAUUUGGGAGAGGGCCUACAUAGGCUAUGCCUGUUGCCCAAUCCUGUUGAGCUUCUCAAUAAAAUAUGUUUAAAUAAAAAAACAAUUCUAUGUGCUUGAUAACUACGCAUAUGAUAAACUCUCAAUUAUUACAUUUUGCAUUACUACAAUUUGCGUCGAGUUCAACGCAGAAUGUAAUAAAGCAAAAUGGCAUAGAUAUAUAAGAUCUAUUGAGCGCCGAAUUAGCAUAAAAUGAAGUAAUUGAAAAUAACAUUAUUUAAAGAUAUGUUUAAUUUUUAAUUAUUGCGUGCUUUAAAUGAAUCAAAUAAAUCUGUAUUAUCAAUUAAUGAGAGCAAUAUUGAGUUACUGUUCUCUUAUAUUGAAUUAACGAUAUCAUUUGUCUUAAUAAGAGCGCGAUUAUUACAAGAUCAUCGUUUGAAUCUCUCUCUCUCUCUCUCUCUCUCUCUCUCUCUCCAUACACUCAUGCAGUGUUGUAUAUGCAAAUUAUCUUUGCACAAAGGAUUUAUGUGCCUAAAUGAUAUCCUGAUUUAUAAAUCUGCAAUACUCUGACAAGUAAAUCAUACAGUAUAAGGAUUCAUGCACAAUACAGGGUAACUAUUCUACUCUGAUACUUCCCCUGAUUGAAGAUAGCUGAUCGGCACGGGCUAAGUGUGUCGCAGUCUGUACAAUGGACAAUGUUGUUUACUGUUGGAAUACAAAUGGAGUGUAUCGUUUUGUUUCAUGGAUUAUGCUAAUAAAGGGAGUUUUACUACUACUUUGAGUAUUUUCGACAAGUGUACACGUACAUUUGUACAUCCUCGGUCCUUUACAGAUAUUACGAGUAGACCCAGUCAGAAAACGCAUUUUGCCAACUGCAAUCCAUAUGGAGAAGUGGGUCGAUCAGUAUGAACACCAAACUGAAAAUAUACAACAGUAACGUGAAAUCUGUGUUACUCUAUGGGUCUGAAUGCUGGAGAAUAAUACAAACUGACAUGAAAAAACUCUCCUCAUUCCAUAACACCUGCCUCCGAAAAAUCUGUAAAAUCUACUGGCCCCAAAAAAUAUCGAAUAAAGAUCUAUAUCUUAAGACCAAACAGUGCUGCAUGAAGAUGGAGAUUAAAAGAAGAAGGUGGCGUUGGAUUGGGCAUAUUCUACGAAAAGGAGGAGAAGAUAUCACUAUGAUUGCUCCGAGAUGGACACCUGAUGGAAAGGGAAAAAGAGGACGCCCAAAAGAGACAUGGCGAAGGAUGGUAGAACAGGAGAUGAAAGAUAUAGGGAAGACCUGGGGGGGGGGGGGGGGAUAGAAAAGAAAGCAAAAGACAGGCAGUUGUGGCGUCAGCUGGUUGAGGCCUUAUGUGCUGAUAGGCACGAAGAGGAUAAGUAAUAUCCAUAUGUCCAAAUGGUUUGAAUAGAAUACAAAGUACUCGAGUUAUUAUCCAGAAACCAGUUUUAACAGUCAACUUCUAUGUGGCCAUGGGGAAGAAAUCUGCACUUCCUGGUAUGGUUCCUCAUAUGAUGACAGC